ACCGAAAAAAACUAUAACUAAGUUAUAACUUUGUAACUAAGAAAAGUUACAAAAAAGUUAUAACUAAGUUAUCGGAGUUUGGAACCACUUCUUCAAAUAAAGUUAUACUUUACUUAUAACUCGGGUACAAAAAAGUUAUACUCAUGUAUAAGUUAUCAUCUUUUAUUUCAACAUGAAUACAACAAGUGCAUAAAAGUUAUCAAAAAGUUAUACUUCAAAAAAGUUAUACUUCACAAAAGUUAUCAAAAAGUUAUACUUAAGUUAUGGAAAAGUUACAAAAAAGUUAUACCCAACAAAAAUUGUGGAAAAGUUACAAAAAAGUUAUACCUGACAAAAGUUAUGGAAAAGUUACAAAAAAGUUAUACCCAACAAAAGUUAUGGAGAAAGUUACAUAAAAGUUAUACCCGACAAAAGUUAUGGAAAAGUUACAAAAAAGUUAUACCCGACAAAAGUUAUGGAAAAGUUACAAAAAAGUUAUACCCAACAAAAGUUAUGGAGAAAGUUACAUAAAAGUUAUACCCGACAAAAGUUAUGGAAAAGUUACAAAAAAGUUAUACCCGACAAAAGUUAUGGAAAAGUUACAAAAAUGAUGGGGAUAAUAAGACAUUACCGAUUAUAAACAGCGACUAUUAUUGGUAUAUUAAUUUCAUUUAUAAAGGUGGCCGAGUGGUUAGAGCAUCGCGCUCCAAAUCACAUGGCCUCUCACCUCUGUCGGCGCGGGUUUGAAUCCCGCUCGCGCCGGUAAGUGAGAAAGUUUCCCAGUUUACUUUCGGAAGGUCGGUGGUCUCUUCCAAGGUACAUUGUAUCUGGGUACUCUCUUCCACCAAUAAAAACUGGGUGCCACCAGAUAACUGAAAAAUUGUUGAGCGUGGCGGAAAACAUCAAACAAUCAAUCAUUUAUAAAGUUUGGCACAAAAAUAUAAAUAAAAUAUUCAUCACUAACUCUUUGUACAUAUUAUCACAUUAAAAAUUGGACAAUCCCCUAUGAAGGGAAUCCCAUAUAUAUAUAUAUAUAUAUAUAUCUCACAUUACUGAAUGUAUAAAAGCUAGGUCUGUUUUAUGUUCUGGAGGCUGACUUGGGAACUAAUCUUGGUCCUCAUCGAAAACUUGACAAUGGCCUCUGAAUCCCGGCAUCGUCUUUAAAUAAAAAAGAAAAUACUCUAGUAACUAACUGUCAUUGAUUCUCCAAUUUAAAAGAUGGAUGUCAGAAAUUACAAGUUUUUUUGUUUUCACCUUUUAAAUACAUCUUCACAAAUUGAAAGAAAUGUGGGCGACUGAUUAUUCUUAUUCGAAGUUAAACAAUUUGUUAUUAGUGUUAUAUAAAGAAUUUAUUAAUUAGAUUAUAAUCUCUUACCAGGAAUAGUGUUUAAAAUGGUCUUUUCAUUUGCACCAGUUAGGUUCCCCUUCCUGAAAAGUUCCACUUGUUGUUUUUUUUUUGGCUUAUAUAAAGCUUGUAUAUCUUUGGGAUAAAUGUAGAUCCCACUACCAGGCAUCAGCUCCAUCAUCUAGAAUAAGAAAAAGAAGCCAAGAUAAAAGAAAAUCACAAUCCAUUUAUUUCAAAGCUUUAAUAUUAUUAUUAAAAAUUAAAAAAAAAAAAAAAAAAAAAAGGCUCAAAAACUUUUUUAACCUCCAGUUAACAUUUUUUUUAUUACUCAUUCCGAAAUUUUCUUAUCUAAUUUAUAGCUUUUUUAACUUCAUGUGAAUAAAAAAGAAUUUUCUCCCUACUUUCCUACUCGACCCUUUUUAUCCCUAGUCGGGAGAGGCCUAGAGGGCAAGCAAAUAUUUUCUUAAAGAUAUAAAUAUUUUUUUCAGUUUUAGGGAAGGGAAAUUCUAUACUAUUAUAAACACAUUUUCUUAUUUCUAAAUCAUGUAAAUUUUCAUAAUCGUACUUUUAUUAUUUAAAAAUGUUUGUCCACAUAAGAAUAUGUAUUUUGUCAACAAAAUGGAGGGAAUCAAGAAGGGCUAAUAUGUAGGACUGUAUAGUCCAACUGCAGUUUUAAUUAUCCUCAAGUUAAAAUAAACUUAAUACAUUCUGACAAAAUUUGUGUAAAUAUUGUAAACAGAAACUUGCUUGAAAAGGCCUACCUAAGAUCUUGGCGGGAUGCACGCCAGAAAAGCCAUGGCAGCUGGCUUUCACCAAAUCCCCAACUUUAUACUGGCAAAACUCCUUUCUUGGAUCUUUGAUGCGUGAUAUGGUUAUGAUGCUGACCUUUUCUUCCUCUAUCCACUCCAUAAGGGCAUACAUGGUUCGUUGAACAAAGUAAUAAUAGAACCUUUCAACUUUCACCUUCUUGAACCGACGCUAUCUUGUUUGAAAAUGGAGAGCGGAGCCGAUUUGACCAAUCAGCGAUUAGAGGAAAUACCGGAAUCAAGGAAUUCAAAACCUUUAUGACUUCAAAUGAUUAAAAAUCGUAAAGUAUAUACGUGAGAUUUUUUUUAGUUAUUCAUCAGUUUUGCUGAAAUUGAUCAGGAACAAUCAAACGUAUUUUUAUUUUUACGUAAAUACCCGAUUCGCACACUUCCGGUUAUUCCGGAUGUAAACGAAGAAGGCGCCAUUUUAAAAACAAAGAUUGAAAUAAAAGCGAAACACUCGUCACUGCUCCGAAGCUAUGUACCCUCACAAACGUGGUAGCUACCAGGUUUUCCAUGCCGAUAAGUCUAAUCCAACACUCAAAGUAUCCCUUUGGCGAAUGCAACAAGGAAAAGACACCAUUUCAUCAGAAAAUUUCGACAAUCGAAGUGUGGCGUGUGAAACUGCUGGCCCUGUCGCCAUUAUGAUUAUCGAUGCCUUUCAUGAGAAAUCAUUUAACCAGUUGCUUCAAGAUGUUGCUGAAGAACCUGCUUUCUUGCCAUAUCAUAUAUGUUGACGGAGAUUCAGAAUGAGACAAAGAGUUUGAUAUAUGAUCCUACACCUGACAGAAAAAGUUGAGGAUCUUGGACCACUUUGGUGCUCAUCUUGUUUCUAUUUUGAGGAUUGUAAUGGAUAAUUGAGAUGCCUUUUCCAUGGCAUCCAACAUAUUGAAACCCAAAUAGCAUUUGCGGUUUGUGUUCAUCAGCAGCUACUGACGUUGUCCCAAGCUCUGAAGUUUGACAGCAGUGAAAGGGAACAGACAGGGUUGCUGUUAUUGGAGCCUAUGUAAAAGACCUUUGAAAUCUGAGGAACAAGCAGUCCUUUUGACCUUAGCUGGAGAGUAGGUCCGUGUGGUUUUCUUCAAAAGACUACUUGUGGACGAACAGGUUGAGACAACAAAAUAAUUCGAUUCAAGGAAACGUUCAUUGGGAGAUUAGAAACUUUUGUUAAAGUAACAGGACAUGACUACAAAUGAAAAACUUUGUUUUGUUUUCACAGUUCCUAACAGGAUUGAACAGGAAUAUAACAUGAACAUGUUCAAUGUCCAGAACAGAGACAUCAUUUAACAGUCAUACCUUGUUUUGUGUCACAUUUACCAAUGAGAUUUGAAUAUAGAAAUAUUUUUUGAUACUUUUUUGGAAAAGACGUUUUUAUAUAUAUGCCUUAAUUUGAUUUUGAUAGACUAUGCAUACCUAAAUUGAUGAAUAGUGUCUCUUUUAACUUGGAACAGAAGUCCAUAUGGACUUAUUUUUAAUAAAUACUGUGACAUAUCUCA